rnacentral:rRNA from 1 species
GUUGACCUCGGAUCGGGUAGGGAUACCCGCUGAACUUAAGCAUAUCAAUAGCCGGGAGGAAUCU